rnacentral:other from 1 species
CAUUGGCAGAGACAACACUGAUGGACAGAGUUGAGGUGUCUCAGUGUGACAGACCCGUAACCUCACUGCGGCCUGUUGCUGGAUUGCCUGUGUCUUCUGGCUCUCUGCUUCCCUUGUUGCUGACCGAGAGCAAGUGGCCAACAGCUAUGGCAAGAUGAAGCUCUCUCUGGUAGCUGGGGUGCUGCAC